AAUCUCUCUUUCUCAGAGGAAUAGAGGAGGAUGGAUCUCGUGACGUAGAUCAAAAGACUUUUUCUGUCUCUCUCUCGCUUCCGAUCUCGAUCACUUUCUACUGAUAUCUACUCCGAGAUUGAGAAUUGGGAUUGAGGCUCUGAGUCUUUUGACCUAUUCUUCUUUCAUUUGUUUGGUUUUCAUUGUUAAUUAUUAUCUACUUGAUUGUUAUCUAAUGUAUUAAAAUUGUUGAAGAAGGAUUUGUUUGGGUGUGAUCCGAGAUUGUAAUUUGAGAUUUUCUUUGACCUAUUUAUAAAUCUAAAUCUCUUACC